rnacentral:rRNA from 1 species
GAUGAACGCUAGCUACAGGCUUAACACAUGCAAGUCGAGGGGAAACGGCAUUGAGUGCUUGCACUCUUUGGACGUCGACCGGCGCACGGGUGAGUAACGCGUAUCCAACCUUCCCAUUACUGUGGGAUAACCUGCCGAAAGGCAGACUAAUACCGCAUAGUCUUCGAUGACGGCAUCAGAUUUGAAGUAAAGAUUUAUCGGUAAUGGAUGGGGAUGCGUCUGAUUAGCUUGUUGGCGGGGUAACGGCCCACCAAGGCAACGAUCAGUAGGGGUUCUGAGAGGAAGGUCCCCCACAUUGGAACUGAGACACGGUCCAAACUCCUACGGGAGGCAGCAGUGAGGAAUAUUGGUCAAUGGACGUAAGUCUGAACCAGCCAAGUAGCGUGCAGGAUGACGGCCCUAUGGGUUGUAAACUGCUUUUGUAUGGGGAUAAAGUUAGGGACGUGUCCCUAUUUGCAGGUACCAUACGAAUAAGGACCGGCUAAUUCCGUGCCAGCAGCCGCGGUAAUACGGAAGGUCCAGGCGUUAUCCGGAUUUAUUGGGUUUAAAGGGAGCGUAGGCUGGAGAUUAAGUGUGUUGUGAAAUGUAGACGCUCAACGUCUGACUUGCAGCGCAUACUGGUUUCCUUGAGUACGCACAACGUUGGCGGAAUUCGUCGUGUAGCGGUGAAAUGCUUAGAUAUGACGAAGAACUCCGAUUGCGAAGGCAGCUGACGGGAGCGCAACUGACGCUUAAGCUCGAAGGUGCGGGUAUCAAACAGG